rnacentral:lncRNA from 1 species
UACAGGGUAGGGUGUAGCCUGAAACCAGCGAAACACAGAUGAGACUGUGCAGAGAUGGCCCUGGAGGGGCCGGGGGAGUAGUUACUGCUGUGGAUUCUCAUUAGGUGAGCCCUGCACGUGCAUAUCCAUAUCUGUGCAGUUAUUAUGGGAUGUGUUCUGGGAAAUUCAUCCUUAUUGUACAGGGGGAAAAGAAAUGUGUUUUUACCAGAUUGGUUUUCCAAAGACAUGAUAGACAGCAGAGCCUAAGGAAUGGGAUAUUCUUAUAAUGGACUGCAGACUUCAAAGUGAUUGGCCUAUUGCAAAAGGAAAACAGGAACUACGUUCAUCCACUUGAGCAUACUUCAUAGUGAUGAAAACCUCAAGGCUCGAGAUCCCAUAGAUCAGAGCCGAACCUACUUUUUUGAUAAGCCCUUUAGUGGUGUUAGAGACUAGAUAUGAGAUAGUUUGUAGUGCGUGCUCUCUGAUAUCUAGAAUAGAUUUUUACUGAAUAGUGGUAUAUAUGAUGUUAUAUGUUUCUUAAAGGCCCAAACAUAAUAAAGAAAUUAAGACAAAG